GACAGAGGCCUCGAGCGUUAGGCGGAAUCACUGGGCUUAAAGCGUGUGUAGGCGGACCCCUAAGUGUCUUGUGAAAUCCCACGGCUCACCCGUGGAACCGCUGGGCAUACUGGGGGUCUUGGGCCAUUCAGGGGCAACUGGAACAAGCGGUGGAGCGGUGAAAUGCGUAGAUAUCGCUUGGAACGCCGACGGUGAAAACAGGUUGCUGGGAAUGCGCCGACGCUGAGACACGAAAGCCAGGGGAGCAAACGGG
rnacentral:rRNA from 1 species